UGGGGAAUAUUGGACAAUGGGCGCAAGCCUGAUCCAGCCACGCCGCGUGAGUGAUGAAGGCCUUCGGGUCGUAAAGCUCUGUGGGGAGGGACGAACAGCGCCGUGAAGAGCGGUGAUUGACGGUACCUCCUUAGCAAGCACCGGCUAACUUCGUGCCAGCAGCCGCGGUAAUACGAAGGGUGCAAACGUUGCUCGGAAUUAUUGGGCGUAAAGCGCACGUAGGCGGCCUUGUAAGUCGGAUGUGAAAUCCCUCGGCUUAACCGAGGACGUGCAUCCGAAACUGUGAGGCUCGAGUAUGGAAGAGGGUCGCAGAAUUCCCGGUGUAGAGGUGAAAUUCGUAGAUAUCGGGAGGAAUACCAGUGGCGAAGGCGGCGACCUGGGCCAAUACUGACGCUGAGGUGCGAAAGCGUGGGGAGCAAACAG
rnacentral:rRNA from 1 species